GACGUAGGGCGCGAGCGUUGUCCGGAUUUAUUGGGCGUAAAGAGCUCGUAGGCGGCUUGUCGCGUCGACUGUGAAAUCCCGCGGCUCAACUGCGGGUCUGCAGUCGAUACGGGCAGGCUAGAGUUCGGUAGGGGAGACGUGGAAUUCCUGGUGUAGCGGUGAAAUGACGCAGAUAUCAGGAGGAACACCGGUGACGAAGGCGGCAUCCUGGACCGACACUGACACUGAGGAGCGAAAGCCAGGGGAGCAAACGGG
rnacentral:rRNA from 1 species